AACGGGUGAGUAUGAUGUGGGAAUCUGCCUUUUGGUUUGGAAUAACACGGGGAAACUUGUGCUAAUACCGAAUAAGCCCUUACGGGGAAAGUUUUAACGCCGAAAGAUGAGCCCGCACUUGAUUAGCUAGUUGGUAAGGUAAAAGCUUACCAAGGCAACGAUCAAUAGCUGUUCUUAGAGGAAGACCAGCCACAUUGGGACUGAGACACGGCCCAGACUCCUACGGGAGGCAGCAGUGGGGAAUCUUGCACAAUGGGGGAAACCCUGAUGCAGCGAUGCCGCAUGAGUGAAGAAGGCCCUUGGGUUGUAAAACUCUUUCGUCGGGGAAGAAAAUGACUGUACCCGAAUAAGAAGGUCCGGCUAACUUCGUGCCAGCAGCCGCGGUAAUACGAAGGGACCUAGCGUAGUUCGGAAUUACUGGGCUUAAAGAGCUCGUAGGUGGUUAAAAAAGUUGAUGGUGAAAUCCCAAGGCUCAACCUUGGAACUGCCAUCAAAACUUUUUAGCUAGAGUGUGAUAGAGGUAAGUGGAAUUUCUAGUGUAGAGGUGAAAUUCGUAGAUAUUAGAAAGAACACCAAAUGCGAAGGCAACUUACUGGGUCACUACUGACACUGAGGAGCGAAAGCAUGGGUAGCGAGGAGGAUUAGAUACCCUCGUAGUCCAUGCCGUAAACGAUGUGUGCUAGACGUUGGA
rnacentral:rRNA from 1 species